CUGCGAUAUUACGAGUAAUAUCAACUUCUUGGCUUCUGAAUAUGAGGAAGAAUAUCACAGGGAUAUUAAUAACAAUUUCACAGGCUGGGUGAACACAGCCGGCGAUGCUGAAAUUAGUAUCAUCCUCUACCCCUCUUCCCCUCCUGGCUCUCAGUCCCCGCCUCACGGGUUAUGUAGCGGGUUAUGGCAAGAAGACAAACUGCAGUUUCCUGCACAGAACAGCACAAACAAUGAUCCAAGCUCAGUUACAACACAAUAUUGGUCAUCAUUUGACAAUGGACUUCAUAUCAACCCUUAGAAAUGUUCCUAAAACAGGUCAGCAAAACACCAAGAAGCAAUAUCCUGAAUGUCUUAGAAUCUCAAGUGACUCUGACUCUACAGUCUAUUGAAUGUGCAUUCAGCU
rnacentral:lncRNA from 1 species